rnacentral:miRNA from 1 species
AAUGAUCAGGAUGAGAUGGUUUGGC